rnacentral:rRNA from 1 species
GAUGAACGCUGACAGAAUGCUUAACACAUGCAAGUCUACUUGAACUUCGGUUGGGGUGGCGGACGGGUGAGUAACGCGUAAAGAACUUGCCUCACAGAUAGGGACAACAUUUGGAAACGAAUGCUAAUACCUGAUAUUAUGAUUUUAGGGCAUCCUAGAAUUAUGAAAGCUAUAUGCACUGUGAGAGAGCUUUGCGUCCCAUUAGCUAGUUGGAGAGGUAACGGCUCACCAAGGCGAUGAUGGGUAGCCGGCCUGAGAGGGUGAUCGGCCACAAGGGGACUGAGACACGGCCCUUACUCCUACGGGAGGCAGCAGUGGGGAAUAUUGGACAAUGGACCAAGAGUCUGAUCCAGCAAUUCUGUGUGCACGAUGAAGUUUUUCGGAAUGUAAAGUGCUUUCAGUUGGGAAGAAAAAAAUGACGGUACCAACAGAAGAAGUGACGGCUAAAUACGU